rnacentral:rRNA from 1 species
CCUACGUGAGGCAGCAGUGAGGCAUAUUGGUCAAUGGACGAGAGUCUGAACCAGCCAAGUAGCGUGAAGGAUGACUGCCCUAUGGGUUGUAAACUUCUUUUAUAUGGGAAUAAAAUGUUCCACGUGUGGGAUUUUGUAUGUACCAUAUGAAUAAGGAUCGGCUAACUCCGUGCCAGCAGCCGCGGUAAUACGGAGGAUCCGAGCGUUAUCCGGAUUUAUUGGGUUUAAAGGGAGCGUAGGUGGAUUGUUAAGUCAGGUGUGAAAGUUUGCGGCUCAACCGUAAAAUUGCAGUUGAAACUGGCAGGCUUGAGUACAGUAGAGGUGGGCGGAAUUCGUGGUGUAGCGGUGAAAUGCUUAGAUAUCACGAAGAACUCCGAUUGCGAAGGCAGCUCACUGGACUGCAACUGACACUGAGGCUCGAAAGUGUGGGUAUCAAACAGGAUUAGAUACCCGUGUAGUC